rnacentral:rRNA from 1 species
UACGUAGGGGGCAAGCGUUGUCCGGAAUCAUUGGGCGUAAAGAGCGUGUAGGCGGCCAGGUAGGUCGGUUGUGAAAACUGGAGGCUCAACCUCCAGACGUCGAUGGAAACCGUCUGGCUAGAGUCCGGAAGAGGAGAGUGGAAUUCCUGGUGUAGCGGUGAAAUGCGCAGAUAUCAGGAAGAACACCCGUGGCGAAAGCGGCUCUCUGGGACGGUACUGACGCUGAGACGCGAAAGCGUGGGGAGCGAACAGG